UACGAAGGAGGCUAGCGUUGCUCGGAAUCACUGGGCGUAAAGCGCACGUAGGCGGCUGUUUAAGUCAGGGGUGAAAUCCUGGAGCUCAACUCCAGAACUGCCUUUGAUACUGAGAAGCUUGAAUCCGGGAGAGGUGAGUGGAACUGCGAGUGUAGAGGUGAAAUUCGUAGAUAUUCGCAAGAACACCAGUGGCGAAGGCGGCUCACUGGCCCGGUACUGACGCUGAGGUGCGAAAGCGUGGGGAGCAAACAGG
rnacentral:rRNA from 1 species